UUUUUCCACGCCUUUUAUACUUUCCCGGGUUCAAUUUUGGCAAAAGUUAAAACACGCGCUCUCUCGAAACGCUGCUCUCUCGAAUCUCUCUCUCUCUCUCUCAACGCUGCUCUCUCGAAUCUCUCUCUCUUAAGAGGUUAUGUGACUGGAAGUACUGAUACAUCCUUAUGGACGGUAUACAAAAACGGCGUGAGGAAUUACUGUGGAAAUAUACUACCAGAUGACUUGGUAAAAAGCCAAAUUACCAGCAAACAUACUUACUUUGACAACUAAGGCUGCAAGUCAUGAUGUGCCCGUAACUCCAGAUGAGAUAGUGAAAAGGGGGCUGAUGACUCAAGAUGAAUACGAUGAAGCAAGUACAAAAGCACUAAGCUUAUUUGAAUAUGGACAGGCAAUUGCGGAGGCAACUAAGGAUGUCACCGAUGGUGAGAGUUUGGAGAAUGACAUUGAUGGGGAUGAUGAUGGUGAUGGCGAUGAGGAAGAUUGAAAUGAAGCUACCUAGUUAGAUGCAUUAUUGGUAGGGAUGCUGAUUUUGUUAAAACAUUGCUUUUGGCUUUUGAUUGUUCAGCUAUAACAUAUAUGACUUUUGUUGGCUUUUGGCCGAUUAUUCAGCUGUAACAUUUAUGUCGUACUGAAUUUUAUAAUUGUUCUUGUUUAAUUA